rnacentral:rRNA from 1 species
CAGCAGCCACGGUAAUACGAAGGGUGCAAGCGUUAAUCGGAAUUACUGGGCGUAAAGCGUGCGUAGGCGGUUUGUUAAGUCUGCUGUGAAAUCCCCGGGCUCAACCUGGGAAUGGCAGUGGAUACUGGCAAGCUAGAGUGUGUCAGAGGAUGGUGGAAUUCCCGGUGUAGCGGUGAAAUGCGUAGAGAUCGGGAGGAACAUCAGUGGCGAAGGCGGCCAUCUGGGACAACACUGACGCUCAUGCACGAAAGCGUGGGGAGCAAACAGGAUUAGAUACCCCAGUAGUCCCUGUCUCUUAUAU